AUGUACCAGAGCAAGAAGCCAAGCGUAGCUGCCUCGGUGACGCCGCGAAACGAGGACGCCGACAACCUUGCCGAGCUCAUCCCCUCGCUGCCGGUCGAGAAGCGGUUCCUGCUGCCGUUCCCCGGCUCGCAGAGGCGGCAGUACCGCGGGUACUGGCUCCCGGAGAGCAACCUGCUGGCCCUGGCGGCAGCCCGCCGCCGCUUCGAGGCCAAGCCCACGGACGUCUUCCUGGUGAGCUGCCCCAAGUCCAGCACCACGUGGCUCUCGGCGCUCGCCUUCGCCACCGUGCACCGCGGCGCGCACCCGCCGUCCUCCCACGACCACCCGCUGCGCCGCCAAAGCCCGCACGCCUGCGUCCUGUCCGUCAAGACGCUGUUUCGGCAGCCGAACGACGUCGCGCGAGGCAUCCUCGAGUCCUGCCCGUCCCCGCGCAUCUUCUUCACCCACUUCCCGCUGUCCCUGCUGCCGGAGCGCAUCGCCGGCGACGGCUCCAGGUGCCGGAUCGUCUACAUCUGCCGGGACCCCAAGGACGUGGUGGUCUCCUGGUGGCGGUCCUUGCGCGCGUGCAUCCCGGACCCCGAGGGGGCUCGGUUCGACGAGGUCUUCGAUUUGUUCUGCCAGGGCCGCAACGGCGGGGGCCCUUACUGGCGCAAUGCACUCGAGCAUUGGGAGGAGAGCCGGAGAAGGCCACGCAAGGUGCUGUUCCUCAGGUAUGAGGAGAUGCUGCGAGACCCGCAGGGCAAUCUCAGGAGGCUGGCGGAGUUCCUGGGGUGCGCGUUCUCUGACGCGGAGGAGAAGGCCGGCGUCGUGGACGCCAUCUUGGAGCUCUGCGGCGUGGAGAAGCUAAACGAGCUUGAGGUGAACCAGAGUGGUGAAAAGACGGGGGAGCAGCGUGUCUCGGACGGUUCCUCCGUCAGGAAGGGGGUCGCCGGCGACCGGAGCAACCACAUGACGCCGGAGAUGGCGGCAAGGCGGCGGCAAGGCUCGAUAAGAUCGUCCAAGAGGCGCUGCAGGGAACCGGAUUUAGCUUUGACAUCCCCACGUCACAGUAAUCAUGUGUAUGUGCGCUUGUAUCACCAGGUCUAA
rnacentral:rRNA from 1 species